CCUACGGGAGACAGCAGUGAGGAAUAUUGGUCAAUGGGCGAGAGCCUGAACCAGCCAAGUCGCGUGAGGGAGUACUGCCCUAUGGGUUGUAAACCUCUUUUGUCGGGGAGCAAAAGCCGGACGUGUCCGGCUGUGAGAGUACCCGAAGAAAAAGCAUCGGCUAACUCCGGCCCAGCAGCCGCGGUAAUACGGAGGAUGCGAGCGUUAUCCGGAUUUAUUGGGGUUAAAGGGUGCGCAGGCGGAUUUUUAAGUCAGCGGUCAAAUCGUGGGGCUCAACCCCAUCCAGCCGUUGAAACUGGGGAUCUAGAGUGUGCGAGAGGUAUGCGGAAUGCGUGGUGUAGCGGUGAAAUGCAUAGAUAUCACGCAGAACCCCGAUUGCGAAGGCAGCAUACCGGUGCACAACUGACGCUCAGGCACGAAAGCGUGGGUAUCGAACAGGAUUAGAUACCCGAGUAGUC
rnacentral:rRNA from 1 species